UACGGAAGGCAGCAGUGGGGAAUAUUGCACAAUGGGCGCAAGCCUGAUGCGGCCAUGCCGCGUGUAUGAAGAAGGCCUUCGGGUUGUAAAGUACUUUCAGUCGUGAGGAAGGUGUUAAGGUUAAUAACCUUAGCAAUUGACGUUAGCGACAGAAGAAGCACCGGCUAACUCCGUGCCAGCAGCCGCGGUAAUACGGAGGGUGCGAGCGUUAAUCGGAAUUACUGGGCGUAAAGGGCACGCAGGCGGUUAAUUAAGUUGGAUGUGAAAUCCCCGGGCUUAACCUGGGAAUGGCAUUCAAGACUGGUUAGCUAGAGUCUUGUAGAGGGGGGUAGAAUUCCAUGUGUAGCGGUGAAAUGCGUAGAGAUGUGGAGGAAUACCGGUGGCGAAGGCGGCCCCUGGACAAAGACUGACGCUCAUGUGCGAAAGCGUGGGGAGCAAACGAGGGAUUAGAU
rnacentral:rRNA from 1 species